AGUGAACGCUGGCGGUAGGCCUAACACAUGCAAGUCGAACGGCAGCACAGUAAGAGCUUGCUCUUACGGGUGGCGAGUGGCGGACGGGUGAGGAAUACAUCGGAAUCUACUUUUUCGUGGGGGAUAACGUAGGGAAACUUACGCUAAUACCGCAUACGACCUACGGGUGAAAGCAGGGGAUCUUCGGACCUUGCGCGAUUGAAUGAGCCGAUGUCGGAUUAGCUAGUUGGCGGGGUAAAGGCCCACCAAGGCGACGAUCCGUAGCUGGUCUGAGAGGAUGAUCAGCCACACUGGAACUGAGACACGGUCCAGACUCCUACGGGAGGCAGCAGUGGGGAAUAUUGGACAAUGGGCGCAAGCCUGAUCCAGCCAUACCGCGUGGGUGAAGAAGGCCUUCGGGUUGUAAAGCCCUUUUGUUGGGAAAGAAAAGCAGCAGGUUAAUACCCCGCUGUUCUGACGAGACCCAAAGAAUAAGCACCGGCUAACUUCGU
rnacentral:rRNA from 1 species